rnacentral:rRNA from 1 species
UUGGGUCGUGUUAUAAAUGCUCUGGCUAAACCUAUUGAUGGGACAGGCGAAAUUGUAGCUUCCGAAUCUCGCUUAAUUGAAUCUCCUGCUCCAAGUAGAAUUUCCAGGCGUUCCGUAUACGAACCUCUUCAAACAGGGCUUAUUGCUAUCGAUUCGAUGAUCCCUAUAGGGCGCGGUCAGCGAGAGUUCAUUAUUGGGGACAGACAG